UUGAACAGCUACAAACAGAGUUGAAAGCAUAUAUGGACCAACUAACUGCUAUCCAUAGAGCUAUCUAUCUGCAGGAAAAAGCCAGAAGUUCCUGUCCAGAGUCGGUGGUGAAGAGACCAGUCGAACCAGGAGACGUAAAUGGAACAGCUCAAGAUGGGACGGACCAUUUGAGGUCAAACGAGCGACCGCAACCGCCGUCCAAGUUCAGGGGAGUGAUACGUGGUAUCAUUUGACUCAUUGUACUAAAGUACACGCCAGAGACACUGUGAAGCCAGACAUUGUGAAGCCAGACAAUGGAAAAGACUGUGAACAGAAAGUUUGCAGCAAUGAAACUGGUAUUAAUGACAUUUCACCUGUGGAUGUUGGCAGAGGUGGUGAGCCUAACAACAGCGAGGCCGGAGAUGAACUCUCACAGCCUGCAGACGGCACCACAGCAUCAGCCAACGUCAACUCAACCACGAGUGAAACGAGCAACGAGUAAUGAGGGUCGAGACGAUCGACAUGCAACCAUGAAAUGUGGAUUGUGGGAACGAUGUAUAGAUGGAUGACAUCAGGCAGCAGCCAUCGAAAAGGCUGACAUCCCGGCCGCCUGGACACGUCUAUGGACUCACACGUAUGCUACAGACUCAUUCCAAAUAGAAAGGAGUACCCGUGAUCGAGACGGACUCUCUUGUUUUGCUACGUGUCCAUGGACUCAUUCAAACCAAGCACAUGAACUGAAGACUGACUAACCCUGUUAACCUUGUUUAAGUUACUCAAUCUAAGAUUAAAUGAAUAAAAUAUAAUACAAUAAAGCAUUAGUAGAUAAGGUAGCACAGGCGGCCGGUUAGUUUAAUCUGUCAUAACAUUAUAUUUUAACAUUCGUUUCUGUUUAACCCUCCGUAUCAGUUUUAUUAGCAAGAUAAUUUGCAUAUAUAUAUAUAAUCCAUGUAUUUCAUAUGUUGUUUAUUGAUGGUUGUAUAUGUUACAUUCUAUUAGGUACUCUUUUUGAAUGAUAAGUGCUGGAUUUCAUUGCAAGUAGCAUGGCUGAUUUCCAAUUGAUGCCGGUCGACCUGACUGGUGGAUGCUCGAUGGGGAACCGAGAUCCAUGGGAGAGUUUUUUCCCCUGAGAACAGUACAUGAAUAAGUGCCAACAACGGGGUUUUUCGCUUCCAUAUCAGCUGGAUUGAUGCCAAUGUGAAAGCAAUGACUAUUUUGCAUCUCUCUCUCUCUCUCUCGUUGAAAUGUGUUAUUGAUUGUAAUUUGCACUUAUUACAAGUCAGUGUUGAUCAACAAUUAUGUGGACACCGUGAUCACAUUAGUAUAUUAUCCAUUGGUUGUGUAAGCAAUUACAUUUUUAGAUGUGUUAUCAUUACAGCUAAGCUUGAUUAGUGCGGAGUCAGAUUUUCUCUUUAUACGAUGUUUAGUCUAUGUACUUUAGUAUAUAGAGGGUUCCUUAGGAGUGUUACGUAAGUAACGUAACAAGGGAGGAUGUGCAGGGGGUUGGAAAACAUCUGAAGUCUGUUUGUCCUGAAAGCGAGGCGAAGGGAGCACAAGUCCAGAAUACGACCAGGACAUGACAUCCUGUGUGACCCAAACAGAGGUCAACUGACAAGAUAAGGUUGUCUGUUUUUCAACGUUUGUGGAGCUGUUCCCAGAAAUAAGACCAAUGUCUGCCAAAGGAGGCUGGAAGCAUGUGGACCAAUGGAUGCACGAAGAAUCUUAUUUGUAACACACACCCAUCUGUGGGAUAUAAAAUGCAUGUACACUAUGUUGUAAUCAGAACCCUAGCUCACACCCGUUCGUACGUGCUGAGAGGUAAAGCCUGAAAUAAAUGGGUUCCCAGUUGGCAAGCAGAA